CGACAAGACAGAUUGGAGAAAUGAUUUGAAGACCGAAGAGGAAUAUCAGUUAGGUGAUAUGACUGAUGCAGUUUGUAGUGAGGACUGAUACUGUCUGAACCUGACAAGACAGAUUGGACCAGACCAGAUGAUUUGAUGACCCAAGAGGAAUAUCAGGUUGCUGCUGACUGAUGCAGUAGUACUGU